rnacentral:rRNA from 1 species
UAGAAUUCCACGUGUAGCGGUGAAAUGCGUAGAGAUGUGGAGGAAUACCGGUGGCGAAGGCGGCCUUCUGGACAGAUACUGACGCUGAGAUGCGAAAGCGUGGGGAGCAAACAGGAUUAGAUACCCUGGUAGUCCACGCUGUAAACGAUGUCGAUUUGGAGUUUGUUGCCUAGAGUGAUGGGCUCCGAAGCUAACGCGAUAAAUCGACCGCCUGGGGAGUACGGCCGCAAGGUUAAAACUCAAAUGAAUUGACGGGGGCCCGCACAAGCGGUGGAGCAUGUGGUUUAAUUCGAUGCAACGCGAAGAACCUUACCUGGUCUUGACAUCCACAGAAUCUUGCAGAGAUGCGAGAGUGCCUUCGGGAACUGUGAGACAGGUGCUGCAUGGCUGUCGUCAGCUCGUGUUGUGAAAUGUUGGGUUAAGUCCCGCAACGAGCGCAACCCUUAUCCUUUGUUGCCAGCGGUUCGGCCGGGAACUCAAAGGAGACUGCCGUUGAUAAAGCGGAGGAAGGUGGGGACGACGUCAAGUCAUCAUGGCCCUUACGACCAGGGCUACACACGUGCUACAAUGGCGUAUACAAAGGGAGGCGACCUCGCGAGAGCAAGCGGACCUCAUAAAGUACGUCUAAGUCCGGAUUGGAGUCUGCAACUCGACUCCAUGAAGUCGGAAUCGCUAGUAAUCGUGAAUCAGAAUGU